rnacentral:lncRNA from 1 species
UGUGCAUUUAGUUAUCGACCCAUCUACACAAUUUUUUAUUUUGAGGUCUGAUUUCGUUUAAUGCUAGUCUGCUGAUCUCACUACCGAACAUCAGUGGGCUGAACUCAUUUUACAUGUACACAUAUAUUGCUUUGGUUUAAGCCUAGAUUAAGGAGUACUUAGAUUUUCCAUUCCUUUAAUUUGCAUUUUUCUUUUUAUGAAAAAAGUGUCGUGGUGUUUACUACCCCAAAAGAAAAGUCCUAAUGAACAUGACAUUGAUAGACAGAACAAAUCAGAACAAUCACAUAUAAUUGCUUGAAAAGUUUUGAUGAACAGUACGAUGAUGUGUGUGAGUGUAUUUAUGUAUAUGUUUUGCUUCUGCCCUGCUGCUCUUGCAUCAAACUUCAAAUUAAAAGCAGGUAGGUUUAGUUUAUUAAACAGUUGGAAAGCCAGAUCUCGACAACCUGAGUGACUUGAAUCUGUCACACCUUGUUUGCCAGCAGUUUGGCACGGGCCUAUUUUUUUCUGAUCAAGCAACAGAAAUGGUUAUAGUAGAAGAUUGUAGUUAUUUUUUUUUCCCUUGCGCACACGAAGGAUUGGAAAGCCAGAUCUCGACAACCUGAGUGACUUGAAUCUGUCACACCUUGUUUGCCAGCAGUUUGGCACGGGCCUAUUUUUUUCUGAUCAAGCAACAGAAAUGGUUAUAGUAGAAGAUUGUAGUUAUUUUUUUUCCCUUGCGCACACGAAGGAUAUUAACUUAAGUUCUCAUAUGUUGGGAAAGGAGAGGGGGUGUGGAUUUUCUAUUUAUCCUAUUCCAGGCCAAGAACUUACUUAGAAGAUGAUACGUGUGUGUGUUAGACUUAGACAUCAGGUUUUCCUCUUCUCAUUGGAAUAUUUGGAGUUGGACAUGACGGUAAACAUUGUAGGAACUAUAAGAUAGCAUUACAUCAUGUGUGCGCUUGUUUCGCUUACUAUGU